UAGGGAAUCUUCCGCAAUGGACGCAAGUCUGACGGAGCAACGCCGCGUGAGUGAAGAAGGAUUUCGGUUCGUAAAACUCUGUUGUUAGAGAAGAACAGCGCAUAGAGUAACUGUUAUGCGUGUGACGGUAUCUAACCAGAAAGCCACGGCUAACUACGUGCCAGCAGCCGCGGUAAUACGUAGGUGGCAAGCGUUGUCCGGAUUUAUUGGGCGUAAAGCGAGCGCAGGCGGUCAAUUAAGUCUGAUGUGAAAGCCCCCGGCUCAACCGGGGAGGGUCAUUGGAAACUGGUUGACUUGAGUGCAGAAGAGGAGAGUGGAAUUCCAUGUGUAGCGGUGAAAUGCGUAGAUAUAUGGAGGAACACCGAUGGCGAAAGCGGCUCUCUGGUCUGUAACUGACGCUGAUGUGCGAAAGCGUGGGGAUCAAACAGG
rnacentral:rRNA from 1 species